rnacentral:rRNA from 1 species
AUUGAACGCUGGCGGCAGGCCUAACACAUGCAAGUAGAGCGAGCGGCGGACGGGUGAGUAAUGUAUGGGGACUGCCCGAUAGAGGGGGAUAACUACUGGAAACGGUCGCUCCUAACGCAUACUAUCGGUUAACCCAUAUGGGAUUGGGUAGUUGGUGAGGUAAUGGCUCACCAAGGCGACGAUCCCUAGCUGGUCUGCGAGGAGGAUCAGCCACACUGGGACUGAGAUACGGCCCAGGCUACUACGGAUGCAGCAUUGGGGGAUAUUGCAGAAAGGGCUAAAGCCUGAUGCAGCUACGCCGCGUGGGGGAUGAAGGCUUUCGGGUUGUAAACCUCUUUCGCUAGCGAACGGGUAGGUGGAGAAGAAGCGCCGGCUAACUACGUGCCAGCAGCCGCGGUAAUAC